rnacentral:rRNA from 1 species
GAUGAACGCUGGCGGCGUGCUUAACACAUGCAAGUUGAACGAAGUGGCGGAUGGGCGAGUAACACGUGAGGAACCUGCCUUUCACAGGGGAAUAACACUGGGAAACCAGUGCUAAUACCGCAUAGUGAAAGAUGGCCUCGCGCCUGAUUAGAUCGUAGGUGAGGUAACGGCUCACCUAGGUGAUGAUCAGUAGCCGGGAUGAAGGGUGACCGGGCACAUUGGCACUGAGAUACGGCCCAGACGAGUACGGGAGGCAGCAGUGGGGGAUAUGGCACAAUGGUGAAAGCCUGAUGCAGCGACGCCGCGGGGGGGAUGAAGGCUUUCGGGUUGUAAACCUCUUUCCAGCGAACAGGGUAGGUGGAGAAGAAGCGCCGGCUAACUACGUGCCAGCAGCCGCGGUAAUAC